rnacentral:rRNA from 1 species
UACGUAGGGGGGCUAGCGUUGUCCGGAAUCAUUGGGCGUAAAGCGCGCGUAGGCGGCCCGGUAAGUCCGCUGUGAAAGUCCAGGGCUCAACCCUGGAAAGCCGGUGGAUACUGCCGGGCUAGAGUCCGGAAGAGGCGAGUGGAAUUCCUGGUGUAGCGGUGGAAUGCGCAGAUAUCAGGAGGAACACCAAUAGCGAAGGCAGCUCGCUGGGACGGUACUGACGCUGGAGGUGCGAAAGCGUGGGGAGCGAGCAGG